CGCGUUCGGCGAGGGCCGGAAGUAGCGGAGGGGGGCGGAGAAGAGCCUCCUGAAGGGAGGAGCCGAGAACCUGCGCAGGGGCGGCGUGGUGCCUCGGUUCUGAGGGAGAGCGCCCGACGUGGGUGGGGUCGUACAGAUCGACUCGUCCCCUAACUCGGCAGAUGCAAAGACGGGCAUCUUCAGAGGGGUGGUGUUGAGUCCUUUUUUUUCCCUUGUGAGGAAAUGCUGUCGGGAGACGCUGGCAUUGUGUCAUCAGCAUUUACGUCGUCUUAAGCUUCAGUUGCCCGAGAUCAACUGUGGUUCAGAAGCAGAUGGUCCUCCUGACGUAUCUUCUAAUGGUACAUCAGAAUACCUACAUCAUUUACCUCACUCUGUUUCAUCACACAGGCAUUUUGUCAUUUCAUGUCACCACAAAAAGGGGGAACAAAACACUUUGCAGGGCAUCGUGGCUCCAAUUUGGUGGGGAUCAAGCAGCACCUCUCACCAAGAAGAAGGGAAAGAAUGAGGUGGAUUGUGGUAGCAGGAGUGCGUAGCAUAUCUGACGUCAGCUAGCCGCCCAAAGAGCCAGAUGGAGCCCUAGCUGGCAGCAACGGGGAGCAGGGAAGCUGGCUUCUUUCAAUCAGUCAUGCUGUGGAGUGCAGUGAGGACACCUCUCCCAAAGCUGCCGGAGCUGCAAGCCUGCCCCAGCAAGAUGAGAGGGAAGUCGGGAAGGCCAGUUUAUUUUAUUUUUAGUAAUCUCUACACCGCAUGUAAAGCUCGCACUCAGAACCCUAAGAUCAAGAGUCACGUGCUCUACUGACCGAGCCAGCUGGGCGCCCCUGACUGCCUCUUUUAUUUCCUCUUGGUAAGAGAGAAGAAUGAGCUAUGGUUUUUUCCUAGGCUGAAGGCAUAUAAUACUUAAGAGUUCUCGCUAACUGGAAAGAAAAACUAGAAAAGAAAAGCCAUUUUACAUGUUAUUCUGACCGAAGAGUGAAAAUCCUCAUGCUUAUCAGUUUUUGUUAUUUUGCUUUGUUUUGUUUUAUAGCUGCUGGCUAGGUAUUACUUGAAUCCGUAUUUGUUUGACUUGAUAAUUUAUUUACUUAUCCAACAAAUAUUUGUCAAAAGUCUUCUAUGUGCCAGACACCAUUUGGUUAUUAUUGGCUUUGCUGCUUUGGUUGUUUUUUGUUUUUAGCGGUAGCUUGGGCUCUAAAUCUGUUUUCCAUCUUUCUUUCUUUCUUUCUUUCUUUCUUUCUUUCUUUUCUUUCUUUCUUUCUUUCUUUCUUUUUUUUUUUUUUUUUGGAGCUUCCAAUUAUAAAUUCAAACAAUUCUCAGAACAGAAACUUCUAUAUAACAAAUUUAAGCAAUUUUCUUGACUAAACUCUAAACCAGAUUGAUCAUAUUACUUUAGUAGGUGGAAGUUAUUUACUGAGUCUCAUUCAUUUUGAGUUAACUGACCAAUAAAAUUAAAAGCAAAAAAGAGCCUGACUUAGAGUUGACAUUUUUUUUGUUUGGUUUUGCUAAGUUAAGAUGUUAAAAAGAGGCAACUGCGACCACGAGAUUAAAAAGAAACAUUUCAGUUUCUAGAACAGAUUAGAAAGAAAAUAUUCAUAAGAAACUUAUAAUAAGAGAAAUUCUUUCAAAUUGAAUGGAAGUUUAGAGUCACAAAACAUUCUCUGUAUUAUCCUUUCUUUUUCUUUUCAUUUUGCCGUGGACUUGUAUAAACACUGUCAGGAACCAGUCCCAAUGUAUGGACUGGUAUUUGGGAGUCACCAUUUUAGGACUGGAACUUUAUUUUAUUCUGACUUGUAUUCCCAUUGUGCUAAGGCUCCAAGAAAUAAUCAUCAAAUUCAAUUGAAGUCUAUCUUUGGAGUUCAUGUGUUUUAACAAAAGCCUUAUUGUUUUGACUGAGGAGGGGGUGUGUUAUGCUGUGAAGGACACUGAUGAAGGAAAAAUGGCUUUGUACACAGUUAAGUAUUUGUAGCCCCGAUUUUACAGAUGAUGAAAGAGACACAGAAAGGUUGAGUGAGUCAAGAAAACGGACAAGAAUAGAACAAGACUCUGGACUUUGAGGACCACUUAGCCACUCAACUACACUCAGAAAUAAGAACAGAUUAACUGGCAUUGAAAAAAAUUUUUUUCUAUAAUGUUUAUUUAUUUUUGAGAGACAGAGCACGAGUGGGGGAGGGGCAGAGAGAGAGGGAGACACAGAAUCCAAAGCAGGCUCCAAGUUCCCAGCUGUUAGCACAGAGCUGGAUGUGGGGCUCAAACCCACGAACCAUGAGAUCAUGAACCGAGCCGCAGUCACUGCCCAACUGACUGAGCCACCCAGGUGCCCUAAGGUUAACUGUGAUUUUUUUUUUCACCAGCUUUGACUAAGUCAUUACCUUAAUGACCCAGUAAGACUUUUCUAGCAAAUAUGCACAGUUUUAUACCCUGGUCUCAGGCUGAAAUUCACUUUAUCUGUGUUUACACUUGGCCGUGGAAUAAAUUUACAUUUUGCUCCAGCGUGCUAGAAGAAAGUGAAUUUUUUUUUUUUCUUUUUUAAGUAGGCUUCACGCCCAGGGUAGAGCCCAGUUCAGGACUUGAACCCAUGACCCUGAGAUCAAGACCGGAGCCGAGAUCAAGAGUCAGACGCUCAACUGACUGAGCCACCUAGGCGCCCCAGGGAUUGUCAAUGUUGGCAAGAUUUUCUAAAGAUUUUGUGUAUGUCGUGUGUCCAAAGCCAUUUUUAAAUCAUCAGUGGAGUCACAGAGAAAUUUUUGCUUUGUUUAAUUUUAUUUUUUGGUGUAAAAAUACUGAGAAUCUGAGAGAGAAGCCAUAUUACACCUCAUUCAUAUUAUUGUAAGUCAUCUCAUACUAUUCUCUCUAGUCCUAAUCAUCCUGUGAGGUUAAAUUUUAUCUCACUGUUUGGAAGGAAAAAGGCAUGGCUUAGAAAGGUAAAAUUUCAAGUGAUCCUGGAGGACCACAGGGCUGUCGGUAAAUAUAGUUGUUAGGCAAUGACCACAACUCUGUAAGCCUGGCUCUAGUCAUCAAGAUGUGGUCCCUUUAAGACUUAGGAGAGGCUACCAGAGAAGACCUGAGCUGAAAACCUGGCCAAGAUCCACAGACCUUGUUGACACAACCUCACUUCUCCGGAGAGGUCCUUGAGGCUGUUUUGUGUGGCUGGGCUCCUGCCUUGCUAUGGUUUCCACUUCCUUGGCUCCUUGUGUGUCUGUUGUAGCCCUGACCCCACAUUUCCAGAACCAGACUGCUUGAUCAAAUAAGGGGUGCUUAUUCGGUUUAUGUUCAUGGUCUGUCUCACUCCCCAAGUACAUUCACCCUUUCUUUUUUAUCUAAAUUCCUCUGACACGAAUCUCAGUCCGUGUGGCCUAGCAGGCACCAGUCAUGGCUCGCUUUUGCUCAUGUCUGCUCGAGAAUCUUCUGUUGCCAUCUUGACUGUAAACCUUUCUGUUCAGUCUCACCUCUUCAAGUUCUGUUUCAAGCUGUAUAGUUUCCAGUAGUUUGGGGGUUAGAAGUGAUUAUAUAGCUUAUAUUUGUUCGCCGACAUUUAUUCAUUCGCAUCCAUUUAUUCCAAAUAUAUUCACUGGGUGUCUACUAUUAGCCACCGUGGUAGGCACUGACAAUAAAGCAGUGAACAAGACAGUCAUGGUCCCUGUUCUCAUGGAACUUAGAAUUUACCAAGAGAGAUGUUCAUUAAUGUAAUAAUCACACUAAUGAAUAUAUAAGUAUGAACUGAGACAAAUGCUCUGAAGGAAAGGAACAUGUUUUUAUGAAAUCAUAUGAAAAAGUAAUUUUACCUUGACUAGGGGUGGGAUUGGGAUCAGGAAAGGCCUCCCUU